AAAAAAAAUGUGUACAUCAGGUUCUGAAGUUUGAUGUCUUUGCAACUGUGGAGAUGGGAAGAAGAGUGCUCUCAUUAGAAAAUUCCAGGUGUCAGGACAUAAGGCUGUUAGCUGGGGUCAAGAGAAGCUGUCUUCAGAGCACACAUCAACCCUUGUACCCGAGGAGAGCCCUGCAGUUGUUUGCAGAACGGUGCUAAUGUUUGACUCACUGAUCCCCCUUGUCUGUGUAACCCUUCUGUAAUCAGCUUCCGGAGGUAUUUGGAGAUUAGCUCGACCUCUCCGCUGCCCUUAGUCACGAGCCAGGUUGUGGACUCUGCACAGGCAGCCCUUCAGGGGCUGCCAUCUGACUCAUCUUCUCCAUCCGUUUGUCUUCAGCCUGAUCUCAAGAAGGGUCCCUCUCAAAUGACUAUAACUUGUGUCAAGAGGACAUAAAACUAGCCAGCACAGCUACCCAAAACAGAUCAGCAACUUACGAGAACUCUAUCGAUUUAUAAAUAAAGAUGAUCCUUCAAAGUCUCCGUGGUGUAAUCCAGAGCAAGUUAAUUUCUCAUGCAAGUAAAUUCACGGAGGAUGGGAGAUGUGCUACUUCGGUUGUUUCAUUGGCAGCAAAUAAAUGAGAAAUACUCAGCCAGAGGCAAUGGGCUUACCCAGAAGCACAUCGCUCAGGCUCUUCAGGACAAGCAGAGGACGGAAUACAGUGCUGGGGAGAUGCCAGGAGGUACCCAGAAGUCCUUCCCUGCGUGCAGAGAUGUGGACCACAACCUCAGCAAACACAUGGUUCCACCAUGACCUUCUGAGCACGUCUUAUUUGAGCUGCUGGCUUCUACCUUCUUUAUCUGUGGUUGCAACCAUCAGUGAGCCAAAAAUAUUAGAGGAAAAGGUCGCAGAAAAAUAAAAACCAGAGGAAACAACCUGAACUCGCUGCACAGCAAGCACUCUGUUGAACACACGGGGGAAUGGUGACACAUUCCACACCCUGUGGUGGCCUCACGCCAUCCCACAGACCCCCAGCCUCUCCUCAGUGUGUGUGUGUCUGAGUACUGGACACCUUCAGCUUGUUUAUGAACCAUGUAGUUAGGUGUUCAUGUCCAGAUGGCUACCAACUUUUUAAUCAUUCUCUAAACAAUAUAGCUUUAAAAAAAAGUUUGCAUAACAACACACAACACUUGUGUCUACACUGAACUCAUAGUUCUUUGUUUACAGUACAAUAGUUAUUUAUAUAACAUGUACAUUGUAUUAAACAUUAUAAUCCAGAGAAGACUAAAAUACACACAAGGGUGUAUAUAGAUUAUAUUCAAAUGCAUCCUUUUCUACAAAGGAUUUGUGGGGCAUAAGGUACUGGAAUCAAUGCCCCAGUUGAAACUGAGAGGCAAGAAAUGCAUCCUUUGGUAAAACUAGUCCAGUCAAAUUUCCCAGUUAGCCUCCUGGCCAGAAACACUCUUCCCUAGUUGUAGAGUCCUAUGGAAAUAAAACAUGGUCUCUGGUGCCACAGAGACUACAAGGAGCACAAUGGGUGCAGGGGUGGAGAGAGAACCAGGCAGGUGAAUGUCCAAAAGCUCACAGGAAGCUGAAGGAGGCCGCAGGUAUCUCUGCAAGGUUGCCAGGCAUGGCUAAGGUGCUUGUUGAAAGAAAUGGCAACUUAGUUCUUUCUGUGGCGUCUCUGUCUCUCCUCCUUUCCCCAUCUCCUCUUAUAUAGCUAUGGCAGAGUGGUCAAUGUACUCUCAUAUGCUCAGACUUUGGGCAAUGGAGACACAAAUACUUUCUCGUCAAAAAAAAUUUUUUUUUUUCCCACUAAAUCUCAUUUGGUCGAAAUCUUCCUCCUUUUAACUGCUAGGUUCAGUUUGACAGAUCGCAAACUCCAAAUACAGAGGGAAAUGUAGAGUUAUAUCGUGCCAUAGG